rnacentral:sRNA from 1 species
CACAAUGUCAUAGGCUCCUCAAGGUUGGUCGGCUCAUCCCCGUGGAAGGGGGUGAGAGCUUUGUCAACACAUGAUGUGGUUUCGCUCAUGCUCCAGUUCGGCCUGUUUCUGAUCGCUGGCCUCUCGCUGAUCGUGACGAUCGUAAAGCACAUGAUUGACAAUCAGAACAAAAAGAAAUGACCUCCCUUGUGCUCGCCAGCGCGGGAGGUCAUUUCUACGUAAUUUACACCUGAGCCGAUCCCCGGAGGGGGAUGACAUUGAGCCGACCGUUGGUGUUCUCAGCACCGGCG